GAAAUGCCCUUUUUUCAUUAGCUCCAAACUUAUUAUUGGCAUUUCAAUUCUUUCUAACUCACUCGCAUUUCAUUAUUUUAGUCUCUCUUCGUACUGCAUUCUCCACCACAGCCCCCUCCACCGCAACCGCCUCCUCACCAGUGCUCCACCAUAGCUCUCCUCCACCAGAGCCCUCAUCCACCGUAGACCUCGGCCUCCAACACGUACAACUCCUCGUUUUCCUCUCUUUCCCAAUGAAGCGCACUCCAUGUUCUCCUCUGAGGCGAACUCAUCUGAAAUCAAUUGAGCCGAAUUAUGAUAUCAAUUGAGGUGAAUUCUCUCGGGAAGCAAGAUCUAGAUGGCAAAAUAUGAAAAACUUAGACAAGCAGGGAUAGAACAAAAUAGAAGCACAAUGAAGGAUUUGGGGGUUAUAUCCAUGGCUUAUGAAAUGAAAGAGUCGAUGAAGGGCUUGAAACAAACGAAUAAGCACUAACUCUUAUAAUUGCGUUAUUAUAUUUUUUUCUCUAGAUGUUUUAUAUAUGAUGCUUUCACCUAUGGAAUUAAAUGGAUCAAGAUGAAGAAUUGGGAUACAAGUGAUGAUGCUACAAGAAGCACUUACUAUUACUGUUGUUUUGCUGCUGCUACUGCUGUUUUGAUGUUGUUACUGCUAUUUUUUUGCUGCUACCGCUGUCUGUUGUUGCCCCCUGCCACUGCUGUUUGCUGCCACAUCUACCGCCGUUUUCUGCCACUACUGUCUGCUACUGAUGUUUGCUGUCACAUAAUGUUGUGUGCUGGUCUGUUAUAGCUGCUGCCGGUCUGCUAGCUAGCUGCUGCCGCUAUUUGUUGUUAUUAUCGCUGACUGUUGUUUGAAAUUUGGAAGUUUUUCUUAUUUCCUCACUUUUCCAAGCUAGAGAUCGAAGUUGAUUUUC